rnacentral:rRNA from 1 species
CCUACGGGUGGCAGCAGUGAGGAAUAUUGGUCAAUGGGCGGAAGCCUGAACCAGCCAAGUCGCGUGAGGGAAUAAGGCCCUACGGGUCGUAAACCUCUUUUGCCGGGGAGUAAGGGCCGGGACGCGUCCCGGCUCGGAUAGUACCCGUAGAAAAAGCAUCGGCUAACUCCGUGCCAGCAGCCGCGGUAAUACGGAGGAUGCGAGCGUUAUCCGGAUUUUUUGGGUUUAAAGGGUGCGUAGGCGGGCUUUUAAGUCAGCGGUAAAAAUUUGGGGCUCAACCGCGGCCGGCCGUUGAAACUGGGGGCCUUGAGUGCGCGUGAAGAAGGCGGAAUGCGUGGUGUAGCGGUGAAAUGCAUAGAUAUCACGCAGAACCCCGAUUGCGAAGGCAGUCUUCCGGCGCCCUACUGACGCUGAGGCACGAAAGUGCGGGGAUCGAACAGGAUUAGAUACCCCGGUAGUC